rnacentral:rRNA from 1 species
UCCCCUACGGGAGGCAGCAGUGGGGGAUAUUGCACAAUGGGGGAAACCCUGAUGCAGCGACGCCGCGUGAGCGAUGAAGUAUUUCGGUAUGUAAAGCUCUAUCAGCAGGGAAGAAAAUGACGGUACCUGACUAAGAAGCCCCGGCUAACUACGUGCCAGCAGCCGCGGUAAUACGUAGGGGGCAAGCGUUAUCCGGAUUUACUGGGUGUAAAGGGAGCGUAGACGGCAGUGCAAGUCUGAAGUGAAAGGCAAGGGCUCAACUCCGGGACUGCUUUUGAAACUGUUGAACUAGAUUGCAGGAGAGG